rnacentral:ncRNA from 2 species
CGCAUGUCAGCCAAAGCUGGUGCCCGUGUAAACGGGUGAAAAUGGGAAUGCGUAGCCCGGGCCACCCGGGACAGGCGCAGCCGCCCCCGCGACCGUAACCGGAGAGGUCGCCCAAUGGUCACUGGCCCCGCAUCGGGCCGGGAAGGCCGGGCAACCGCAGGAUCGCAACGCCGCGAUCCGGGAUCCGCAAGCCGGGAGACCUGCCAGCGCGAUACGACGAAA